UACAGAGGUCUCAAGCGUUUGUUCGGAUUUACUGGGCGUAAAGGGCGCGUAGGCGGUCAGCACAAGUCAGUUGUGAAAUCUCCGGGCUUAACCCGGAAAGGUCAACUGAUACUGUGCGACUAGAGUGCGGAAGGGGCAACUGGAAUUCUCGGUGUAGCGGUGAAAUGCGUAGAUAUCGAGAGGAACACCUGCGGCGAAGGCGGGUUGCUGGGCCGACACUGACGCUGAUGCGCGAAAAGCCAGGGGAGCGAACGGGG
rnacentral:rRNA from 1 species